rfam:Heligmosomoides polygyrus genome assembly, scaffold: HPBE_scaffold0011837
GCGCCGGUGGUGUAAGGCGUAGAGCAUUCCCGCCCGGUCAGAGGGAGGUGCGGGUUCGAGUCCCGCCUGGCGCU